rnacentral:rRNA from 1 species
UACGUAGGGGGCAAGCGUUGUCCGGAAUCAUUGGGCGUAAAGAGCGUGUAGGCGGUCCGGUAAGUCGGCUGUGAAAGUCCAGGGCUCAACCCUGGGAUGCCGGUGGAUACUGUCGGGCUCGAGUCCGGAAGAGGAGUGUGGAAUUCCUGGUGUAGCGGUGAAAUGCGCAGAUAUCAGGAGGAACACCAAUGGCGAAGGCAGCACUCUGGGACGUGACUGACGCUGAGACGCGAAAGCGUGGGGAGCGAACCGG